rnacentral:rRNA from 1 species
ACGGGUGAGUAACACGUGGGUAAUCUGCCCUGCACUCUGGGAUAAGCCUUGGAAACGAGGUCUAAUACCGGAUAUCACUUCCCUGGGCAUCCAGGGUUGUUGAAAGUUCUGGCGGUGCAGGAUGAACCCGCGGCCUAUCAGCUUGUUGGUGGGGUAGUGGCCUACCAAGGCGACGACGGGUAGCCGGCCUGAGAGGGUGACCGGCCACACUGGGACUGAGACACGGCCCAGACUCCUACGGGAGGCAGCAGUGGGGAAUAUUGCACAAUGGGCGCAAGCCUGAUGCAGCGACGCCGCGUGAGGGAUGACGGCCUUCGGGUUGUAAACCUCUUUCGCCAGGGACGAAGCGCAAGUGACGGUACCUGGAUAAGAAGCACCGGCUAACUACGUGCCAGCAGCCGCGGUAAUACGUAGGGUGCGAGCGUUGUCCGGAUUUAUUGGGCGUAAAGAGCUCGUAGGCGGUUUGUCGCGUCGGCCGUGAAAUCUCCACGCUUAACGUGGAGCGUGCGGUCGAUACGGGCAGACUUGAGUUCGGUAGGGGAGACUGGAAUUCCUGGUGUAGCGGUGAAAUGCGCAGA